rfam:Prevotella sp. CAG:5226 genomic scaffold, scf809
UCAGUCGGCCGGCUUGCCGUGUGCAUUCGUUUCUUGAGAUGCAGGAGGAAAGUCCGGGCAACGUAGAGCAUUCUGCUUCUUAAUUGGAAGUCGUCCGUGAGGGUGAACCAGUGCAGAAGAAAAUAACCGCCCGCUGUCACUAUAACAGUAGGGUAAGGGUGAGAAGGCGGGGUAAGAGCCCACCAGGCACAUGGUGACAUGUGUGCUGUGCACGUCAGAAGUUGAAAGUUCAUGUAUACCAGCGUAAGAGGGCUGCUCGUCCGAGCAUUUAAUGCCUAAACAGUAUUAAAUGCGCGUUGGAGGGUAGAACGAUAGAGCACUUUGGCAACAAAGUGCGCGGAUAAAUGGCAGGCGCUGUGCAUCUUUUUAGGGUGCAUGGUCACAGAACCCGGCUUAUAGGCCGUCUGAUUCU